rnacentral:rRNA from 1 species
ACCGAACCGACUAAUGUUGAAAAAUUAGCGGAUGACUUGUGGCUGGGGGUGAAAGGCCAAUCAAACCGGGAGAUAGCUGGUUCUCCCCGAAAGCUAUUUAGGUAGCGCCUCGUGAAUUCAUCUCCGGGGGUAGAGCACUGUUUCGGCAAGGGGGUCAUCCCGACUUACCAACCCGAUGCAAACUGCGAAUACCGGAGAAUGUUAUCACGGGAGACACACGGCGGGUGCUAACGUCCGUCGUGAAGAGGGAAACAACCCAGACCGCCAGCUAAGGUCCCAAAGUCAUGGUUAAGUGGGAAACGAUGUGGGAAGGCCCAGACAGCCAGGAUGUUGGCUUAGAAGCAGCCAUCAUUUAAAGAAAGCGUAAUAGCUCACUGGUCGAGUCGGCCUGCGCGGAAGAUGUAACGGGGCUAAACCAUGCACCGAAGCUGCGGCAGCGACACUAUGUGUUGUUGGGUAGGGGAGCGUUCUGUAAGCCUGUGAAGGUGUGCUGUGAGGCAUGCUGGAGGUAUCAGAAGUGCGAAUGCUGACAUAAGUAACGAUAAAGCGGGUGAAAAGCCCGCUCGCCGGAAGACCAAGGGUUCCUGUCCAACGUUAAUCGGGGCAGGGUGAGUCGACCCCUAAGGCGAGGCCGAAAGGCGUAGUCGAUGGGAAACAGGUUAAUAUUCCUGUACUUGGUGUUACUGCGAAGGGGGGACGGAGAAGGCUAUGUUGGCCGGGCGACGGUUGUCCCGGUUUAAGCGUGUAGGCUGGUUUUCCAGGCAAAUCCGGAAAAUCAAGGCUGAGGCGUGAUGACGAGGCACUACGGUGCUGAAGCAACAAAUGCCCUGCUUCCAGGAAAAGCCUCUAAGCAUCAGGUAACAUCAAAUCGUACCCCAAACCGACACAGGUGGUCAGGUAGAGAAUACCAAGGCGCUUGAGAGAACUCGGGUGAAGGAACUAGGCAAAAUGGUGCCGUAACUUCGGGAGAAGGCACGCUGAUAUGUAGGUGAAGUCCCUUGCGGAUGGAGCUGAAAUCAGUCGAAGAUACCAGCUGGCUGCAACUGUUUAUUAAAAACACAGCACUGUGCAAACACGAAAGUGGACGUAUACGGUGUGACGCCUGCCCGGUGCCGGAAGGUUAAUUGAUGGGGUUAGCGGUAACGCGAAGCUCUUGAUCGAAGCCCCGGUAAACGGCGGCCGUAACUAUAACGGUCCUAAGGUAGCGAAAUUCCUUGUCGGGUAAGUUCCGACCUGCACGAAUGGCGUAAUGAUGGCCAGGCUGUCUCCACCCGAGACUCAGUGAAAUUGAACUCGCUGUGAAGAUGCAGUGUACCCGCGGCAAGACGGAAAGACCCCGUGAACCUUUACUAUAGCUUGACACUGAACAUUGAGCCUUGAUGUGUAGGAUAGGUGGGAGGCUUUGAAGUGUGGACGCCAGUCUGCAUGGAGCCGACCUUGAAAUACCACCCUUUAAUGUUUGAUGUUCUAACGUUGACCCGUAAUCCGGGUUGCGGACAGUGUCUGGUGGGUAGUUUGACUGGGGCGGUCUCCUCCUAAAGAGUAACGGAGGAGCACGAAGGUUGGCUAAUCCUGGUCGGACAUCAGGAGGUUAGUGCAAUGGCAUAAGCCAGCUUGACUGCGAGCGUGACGGCGCGAGCAGGUGCGAAAGCAGGUCAUAGUGAUCCGGUGGUUCUGAAUGGAAGGGCCAUCGCUCAACGGAUAAAAGGUACUCCGGGGAUAACAGGCUGAUACCGCCCAAGAGUUCAUAUCGACGGCGGUGUUUGGCACCUCGAUGUCGGCUCAUCACAUCCUGGGGCUGAAGUAGGUCCCAAGGGUAUGGCUGUUCGCCAUUUAAAGUGGUACGCGAGCUGGGUUUAGAACGUCGUGAGACAGUUCGGUCCCUAUCUGCCGUGGGCGCUGGAGAACUGAGGGGGGCUGCUCCUAGUACGAGAGGACCGGAGUGGACGCAUCACUGGUGUUCGGGUUGUCAUGCCAAUGGCACUGCCCGGUAGCUAAAUGCGGAAGAGAUAAGUGCUGAAAGCAUCUAAGCACGAAACUUGCCCCGAGAUGAGUUCUCCCUGACUCCUUGAGAGUCCUGAAGGAACGUUGAAGACGACGACGUUGAUAGGCCGGGUGUGUAAGCGCAGCGAUGCGUUGAGCUAACCGGUACUAAUGAACCGUGAGGCUUAACCUUACAACGCCGAAG